rnacentral:rRNA from 1 species
GAUGAACGCUGGCGGCGUGCCUAAUACAUGCAAGUCGAGCGAACGGACGAGAAGCUUGCUUCUCUGAUGUUAGCGGCGGACGGGUGAGUAACACGUGGAUAACCUACCUAUAAGACUGGGAUAACUUCGGGAAACCGUAGCUAAUACCGGAUAAUAUUUUGAACCGCAUGGUUCAAAAGUGAAAGACGGUCUUGCUGUCACUUAUAGAUGGAUCCGCGCUGCAUUAGCUAGUUGGUAAGGUAGCGGCUUACCAAGGCAACGAUGCAUAGCCGACCUGAGAGGGUGAUCGGCCACACUGGAACUGAGACACGGUCCAGACUCCUACGGGAGGCAGCAGUAGGGAAUCUUCCGCAAUGGGCGAAAGCCUGACGGAGCAACGCCGCGUGAGUGAUGAAGGUCUUCGGAUCGUAAAACUCUGUUAUUAGGGAAGAACAAAUGUGUAAGUAACUAUGCACGUCUUGACGGUACCUAAUCAGAAAGCCACGGCUAACUACGUG